rnacentral:rRNA from 1 species
GACGAACGCUGGCGGCGUGCUUAACACAUGCAAGUCGAACGAUGAUGCCAGCUUGCUGGUGGAUUAGUGGCGAACGGGUGAGUAACACGUGAGCAACCUGCCCCUGACUUCGGGAUAACCGCGGGAAACCGUGGCUAAUACCGGAUAUGACGCGCUAUCGCAUGGUGGUGUGUGGAAAGAUUUAUCGGUUGGGGAUGGGCUGGCGGCCUAUCAGCUUGUUGGUGGGGUGAUGGCCUACCAAGGCGACGACGGGUAGCCGGCCUGAGAGGGUGACCGGCCACACUGGGACUGAGACACGGCCCAGACUCCUACGGGAGGCAGCAGUGGGGAAUAUGGCACAAUGGGCGCAAGCCUGAUGCAGCGACGCCGCGUGAGGGAUGACGGCCUUCGGGUUGUAAACCUCAUUCAGUAGGGAAGAAGGCCUUCGGGUUGACGGUACCUGCAGAAGAAGCGCCGGCUAACUACGUG